CCUACGGGGUGCAGCAGUGGGGAAUAUUGGGCAAUGGGCGCAAGCCUGACCCAGCAAUGCCGCGUGAAGGAAGAAGGCUUUUGGGUUGUAAACUUCUUUGACAGGGGAAGAGCAGAAGACGGUACCCUGAAAACAAGCCACGGCUAACUACGUGCCAGCAGCCGCGGUAAUACGUAGGUGGCAAGCGUUGUCCGGAUUUACUGGGUGUAAAGGGCGUGUAGCCGGGAAGGCAAGUCAGAUGUGAAAUCUGGAGGCUCAACCUCCAAAUUGCAUUUGAAACUGUUUUUCUUGAGUACUGGAGAGGCAGACGGAAUUCCUUGGGUAGCGGUGAAAUGCGUAGAUAUAAGGAGGAACACCAGUGGCGAAGGCGGUCUGCUGGACAGCAACUGACGGUGAGGCGCGAAAGCGUGGGGAGCAAACAGGAUUAGAUACCAUUGUAGUC
rnacentral:rRNA from 1 species